GAACAAUCUUAUACCAAUCCCAGUUCCCUCCUGGUUCCAUCCUUCUGCUGUGGUGCAUGCUUGGUCAAAGAAGACAACCUUCCCGGAAUAGAGGAGGACUGGUCUUCUGUCAAGGGUGUAUGAGUAGUUGCUCUCUCCUGCUAGAACCUCCAAACAAUCUCUAAAAGCUAAUUAUUUUGAUGGUAGAUGUUUCAGAAAAGUUUUGAGGAUUAUUUUAAAAACUAUUAAGUCAAU
rnacentral:snRNA from 1 species